CUGAAUCCUGCCAUCCGACAAUUUUAUUUAUGUUUAAGGUAAACGUAAGCUGACUAAGUAAAAACGAGCUGUUGUGCUAGGGGUCCUCUGAAUCCUGCCAUCCGACAAUGUUAUUUAUGUUUAAGGUAAACGUAAGCUGACUAAGUAAAAA